GCCGGUGUAGCUUAGAGGUAGAGCGUUGCACUUGUAAUGCAAAGGUCGCCAGUUCGAGUCUGGUUAUCGGCA
rnacentral:tRNA from 1 species